rnacentral:rRNA from 1 species
UACGUAGGGGGCAAGCGUUGUCCGGAUUUAUUGGGCGUAAAGAGCGUGUAGGCGGCCAAGCAGGUCCGCUGUGAAAACUCGAGGCUCAACCUCGAGACGUCGGUGGAAACCGUUUGGCUAGAGUCCGGAAGAGGAGAGUGGAAUUCCCGGUGUAGCGGUGAAAUGCGCAGAUAUCGGGAAGAACACCAAUGGCGAAAGCAGGUACCUGGACUAUUACUGACACUCAGCUGCGAAAGCUAGGGGAGCAAACAGG